rnacentral:tRNA from 1 species
AGAACAUGAAGCUUUAUUCAAGCAAUUAGCUGUUACCUAAUAGAUAGUGAAACCCACCAUUCACCUGUUCCA